GUAGUAUGUUAUUAUUAUUAUAAGGAUUAUGAUUAUGAUAUUUUUUAUUUCCGUUUUAAUGUUUAUCAUUAAUUUUGCAAAUAUUGUUUUAUUAUAUCUGUUUAAUUCUCUUGUGCAUUAUUCGAUUGGUCAUUUGACCGUUUGUGAAGGCCAGAGUGUGCCUGAUGUUGAUUAGCCGUUUGGCUUGUGUGGUCAUUUGACCGUUUGUGAAGGCCAGAGUGUGCCUGAUGUUGAUUAGCCGUUUGGCUUGUGUGGUCAUUUGACCGUUUGUGAAGGCCAGAGUGUGCCUGAUGUUGAUAAGCCAGUUGGCUUGUGUGGUCAGUUGACCGUUGUUGAAGGCCAUAGUGUGCCUAUUUUGAUUGAAUUAAUUUUAUUGCUUUUACAAAUGUUUAUAAUUGUAUCUUUUCAGUUAAAACACAGUUCGAGAGGUAUAUAACGUGGUGGAGAAUAUUUAGUUCGGUUUUUAGUCCAUGUGAGAUGGGAUCUUAACACAAACCGAUUCCUUUACUGGGAAAGACGAUGGGUGCAUUUUCAUUUAAGUCUGAAGCAGCUAUGUUUUCUUGAUUAUUUUGACUCAUUUUUUACUUAAUAUUGUGUUUGAAUGAGGUUUUUUAAGUUAUGGGUGUCAUGUUUUUCGAGACUCUCACUUCCUGGAGAUAGUACCUCCAGCAUAUUUAUUGAAAUAUUGGUAUGUUUAAAUUUCAGUGUUAUUAUUUUUUGUUGUCUUUCGAAAUGAACGUUUAAUUUUAAAGACAUUCUUAUUGUACGAUUACUUAAUAUGUUCAUUUUGGUGUGACUGGUUAGAUGUUGAAGUCGGUUUAAUAUAGCUGUUCGUCAUAUGCACUUAUAUAUUUCUCGGAAUACUUAUGAUUUAUCAACAUUCUUUUUAGGUGCUUUAUGGAUUUUAUGGUUUGAGUGAUUUGUUUGUUUUUAUGUUGAUGUCCGGGGUGUGUGCGGGAUGCUUUUGAUGUUUGUUUGUUAUGUUAAUUUGCGCAAUGAAAUUGAUAAUGUUUUAAUUACAUUUUUUUUUACUAAAUAAUACUUAAUGUUAACAGUAUAAUAAUAGCUGCUUAUUUGUAGAUUUCUCUAAAAUUAGAGGUUUCGGGAGGUGAUGAAGGCACCUAGACACCGGUCUCGAGCCAUGGGUAUUCAUACGUCCCCCUGCCAUUAAAAGAAAAAAUAAGAAAACAAAAAUGGCAGUAGGGUUGCGUAUCCCGCUCGCGGUUUUACCUGAAUCGUUUAUUACUACUGAGUAUUGUAUGGGGUGUACGUGAAGUCAUGUACACUUCUCUUGAUUGGUGGUGGUAGAUGAAUCUUGCAGAUAUUAGCAGCUUCUUUGAACAAAUUAAUGUUUCACAUUUGUUAAUUUAUAAUAUUUAAGCAAGUUAGCGUGAUUGAUGGGCAUUGUGGGCGUCCUGUGUGCACUGUGGGCAUCGGCGGGGAUCAGUUUAUUCAAACAGUAACUCUUUUUUGAGAUAUAUACUUGACGUCUAAUUGUUAUGAAUACAUUUGCACUUUUUCACAUGACACACAUGUGUAUGUGAAGUAUUCAUAAUUACAUGCCCUACAGCAUUUAAAUAGUAUCGUUUCAGUUCUUUAUACACCUGAACAAAGAUGUUACACCGUUUCCAGUCGUCUCGAGAUUCCUCAACUGAGCGGUGCCGUUGAGGUCUAUAUCCAUUGCGCAUACAACAUAUACGGGCUUCAGAAGAAUUGUUUUUUGCAUUUAUUUGUUGAAAGUCCUGUCAAAUACAAGCACUCACUCCUA